rnacentral:rRNA from 1 species
CAGCGGCGGACGGGUGAGUAACACGUGGGCAACCUGCCUGUAAGACUGGGAUAACUUCGGGAAACCGGAGCUAAUACCGGAUAAUCCUUUCCCUCACAUGAGGGAAAGCUGAAAGACGGUUUCGGCUGUCACUUACAGAUGGGCCCGCGGCGCAUUAGCUAGUUGGUGAGGUAACGGCUCACCAAGGCAACGAUGCGUAGCCGACCUGAGAGGGUGAUCGGCCACACUGGGACUGAGACACGGCCCAGACUCCUACGGGAGGCAGCAGUAGGGAAUCUUCCGCAAUGGACGAAAGUCUGACGGAGCAACGCCGCGUGAACGAUGAAGGCUUUCGGGUCGUAAAGUUCUGUUGUCAGGGAAGAACAAGUACCGGAGUAACUGCCGGUACCUUGACGGUACCUGACCAGAAAGCCACGGCUAACUACGUGCCAGCAGCCGCGGUAAUACGUAGGUGGCAAGCGUUGUCCGGAAUUAUUGGGCGUAAAGCGCGCGCAGGCGGUUCCUUAAGUCUGAUGUGAAAGCCCCCGGCUCAACCGGGGAGGGUCAUUGGAAACUGGGGAACUUGAGUGCAGAAGAGGAGAGCGGAAUUCCACGUGUAGCGGUGAAAUGCGUAGAGAUGUGGAGGAACACCAGUGGCGAAGGCGGCUCUCUGGUCUGUAACUGACGCUGAGGCGCGAAAGCGUGGGGAGCGAACAGGAUUAGAUACCCUGGUAGUCCACGCCGUAAACGAUGAGUGCUAAGUGUUAGAGGGUUUCCGCCCUUUAGUGCUGCAGCAAACGCAUUAAGCACUCCGCCUGGGGAGUACGGCCGCAAGGCUGAAACUCAAAGGAAUUGACGGGGGCCCGCACAAGCGGUGGAGCAUGUGGUUUAAUUCGAAGCAACGCGAAGAACCUUACCAGGUCUUGACAUCCUCUGACAACCCUAGAGAUAGGGCGUUCCCCUUCGGGGGACAGAGUGACAGGUGGUGCAUGGUUGUCGUCAGCUCGUGUCGUGAGAUGUUGGGUUAAGUCCCGCAACGAGCGCAACCCUUGAUCUUAGUUGCCAGCAUUCAGUUGGGCACUCUAAGGUGACUGCCGGUGACAAACCGGAGGAAGGUGGGGAUGACGUCAAAUCAUCAUGCCCCUUAUGACCUGGGCUACACACGUGCUACAAUGGAUGGAACAAAGGGUCGCGAAGCCGCGAGGUGAAGCCAAUCCCAUAAAUCCAUUCUCAGUUCGGAUUGCAGGCUGCAACUCGCCUGCAUGAAGCCGGAAUCGCUAGUAAUCGCGGAUCAGCAUGCCGCGGUGAAUACGUUCCCG